rnacentral:rRNA from 1 species
GUCCUUAGUUACCAGCACGUUAUGGUGGGCGACUCUAAGGAGACUGCCGGUGACAAACCGGAGGAAGGUGGGGAUGACGUCAAGUCAUCAUGGCCCUUACGGCCUGGGCUACACACGUGCUACAAUGGUCGGUACAAAGGGUUGCCAAGCCGCGAGGUGGAGCUAAUCCCAUAAAACCGAAUCGUAGUCCGGAUCGCAGUCUGCAACUCGACUGCGUGAAGUCGGAAUCGCUAGUAAUCGUGAAUCAGAAUGUCACGGUGAAUACGUUCCCGGGCCUU